GACGAACGCUGGCGGCAGGCUCAACACAUGCAAGUCGAACGCCCCGCAAGGGGAGUGGCAGACGGGUGAGUAACGCGUGGGAACGUACCCUUCGCUUCGGAAUAGCCCCGGGAAACUGGGUGUAAUACCGGAUACGCCGUAUUGGGAAAGAUUUAUCGGCGAAGGAUCGGCCCGCGUUGGAUUAGCUAGUUGGUGGGGUAAUGGCCUACCAAGGCGACGAUCCAUAGCUGGUCUGAGAGGAUGAUCAGCCACACUGGGACUGAGACACGGCCCAGACUCCUACGGGAGGCAGCAGUGGGGAAUCUUGGACAAUGGGGGCAACCCUGAUCCAGCCAUGCCGCGUGAGUGAAGAAGGCCUUAGGGUUGUAAAACUCUUUCGCCGGUGAAGAUAAUGACGGUAACCGGAGAAGAAGCCCCGGCUAACUUCGUGCCAGCAGCCGCCGUAA
rnacentral:rRNA from 1 species